GACGAACGCUGGCGGCGUGCUUAACACAUGCAAGUCGAACGGAAAGGCCCUGCUUUUGUGGGGUGCUCGAGUGGCGCACGGGUGAGUAACACGUGAGUAACCUGCCCUUGACUUUGGGAUAACUUCAGGAAACUGGGGCUAAUACCGGAUAGGAGCUCCUGCUGCAUGGUGGGGGUUGGAAAGUUUCGGCGGUUGGGGAUGGACUCGCGGCUUAUCAGCUUGUUGGUGGGGUAGUGGCUUACCAAGGCUUUGACGGGUAGCCGGCCUGAGAGGGUGACCGGCCACAUAGGGACUGAGAGACGGCACAGACUGCUACGGGAGGGAGCAGUGGGGAAGAUUGCACGAUGGGCGGAAGCCUGAUGCAGCAACGCCGCGUGCGGGAAGACGGCGUUCGGGUUGUAAACCGCUUGCGCCUGUGACGAAGCGUGAGUGACGGUAAUGGGUAAAGAAGCACCGGCUAACUACGUG
rnacentral:rRNA from 1 species